UUGCUUCAGUAGCACAUAUGCUAACAUUGGAAUGAUACGGAGAAGAUCAGCAUGGGCGCUGCACAAGGAUGACACGCAAAUUCAUGAAGCAUCCCAUUCAUUU